AAGAGGAACCAGAAAAGGCAGGCAGUUGACAGACAUAAUCCUUAAGAUAGGAAGGAGGAUUAAGCUGUCUAGUGGACUUUCUAGGUGUGGGAAGAGGAUGGGAAUGAGGUAACACAGGAGUAGGGAGAUCAGGAUUGAAAGAAGGAAGGGAAGAUGGACCAACAUCAGGAAAAGCAGGUGCAGGAGAAUCAGAGUUAGAACGAAGAACAGGAGAAUCAGGGGAAGUAAAUAUAGGAAAGUCUGAGGCAGUGAA
rnacentral:lncRNA from 1 species